rnacentral:tRNA from 1 species
AAGAAAGAUAAGUCAAUUGGUAACGACUCCCUAUUCAGAUUAGGAGAAUGGUUGGUUCGAAUCCACCUCUUUCUUU